GGGAGCUCUUAUUUAUCUUUCUCUUGUUAUAUUUUGCAUUUUUCCCCUGUUUUUGGCAGCUGGGUCUCUUCUGUUUGCUUGGAUCUAUGGUUGUUUGGGUUAUAGUCACUGAUCAAGAUCUUGUUUUUUUCUGAAUUAACCUUUGAUCAUAUUUCCUGUACCUGGGUAUUGAUUGUUUUUCUGAGAUUAGUUUUCCGUGUGCAAACUGCAUUUUGUUAGUAGCUGACUUGAUUGACUGGUCCUUUGCUUUUCUGGGUGGUCCUUCAAUCCUUUAAACUUAGUUUUUAUUUUCUUUUUCUUUUUCCCUGAAAAAAUAUUUGUCCAAAUUUUGUUCUGAUUGUAUGUACUUUUAAGGUACAAAGAUUGUGUAUGGAGUGAACUAGCUGUCUCCUGAUCUUACUCACUUUUUCCUUUAGUAUCAUUUCGUGAAGUUCCGCAUGCAGGUUUUUGAUUGAGUAAUUUUAUUUUUUUUUUCCCUGGGAAAUAAUAAUUUGCUGAUUUAUAUUUGGAUUUUAUGUUCUUUUACUUUUUCACUUUUGAAUUUUUGCUUUUGACCUAUUUUUAGCCAAGUUUCGUAGUAGUUAUGGCUUUUCCUAUGUUGAAACUGUAUUGCCAUCGUGGAGAUUAUGUUGGUAGGUUCUUUUUCUGAUCUGUCCUCUUUAAUCUGUGCUUGGGCUAAGUGAAAUUUGAGUUUGUAAUACUAUCACUUAGUUGUUGCUUGAAUAAUGUAAAUCAGCAUUUAGAUUUCCAUAUUCAGCUAAGAUCACUCCCUCUUUGGAUGUUAGAAAGUUGCAUUUUUACACAGAUUCCCACAACAUAUGCAUUGGACUGCUGAUUCUGAUACUAUCUUGGGUGAUCAGUUUUGGGCAGAGGAUUGGUUUGAUCUAAUGUAGCUUUGAGACUUGUGUGUCAUAUGAUGGCGUCAAAAACUGUUCUAAAGGCUUCCACAACACAACAGAAAUCAUCUGGUGUUCAAAGAGUGGAAGCAAACACCCUUAGGCCUUUGCCUUCACAUGUUUCAAAAACAAGCAAAUCAGAGUUGAUCAAUAAUGAGCAGGUGCCAAGGGCAGUAGAAAACACACCGAAAGAAGUUAUGAUAGAAGCUUUUGAAAAUAAAAAGCUACCAAAUUCUGAUAACAAAGGGACCGCUGAUUCAUUGAGUAAUAAAUUGGAAACAAGUCUUUCUUUACCUACUCUUGAGCAAGAAUCUACUGAAGCAGAUUCUUCCAUUAAUGAUACAAGAGCCGCACAGGAUGUUUCUGUUGAUCAAGAGAAGAAAACAUCAGAAUUUGGAAGUAUUAAAAACAGUUCUGCAUCUGCCAAAUUUAGUGAUGGAACCAGCAGUCUUGUUAAGACUAGUGGAAGUGCCAAGAACAGUGAUCAUGUUGAUUAUGUGGAGAGUGGCAAGAGCAGCAUGUGUAGAGGAAGCACAAGCAGUGAUUUAAGUGAUGAGAGCACCUGUAGCAGCUUCAGUAGCAGUAUCAGUAAACCACAUAAAGCAAAUGACUUGAGAUGGGAAGCCAUCCAAGCUGUUAGAGCAAAAGAUGGAGCUUUGGGCUUGAGUCAUUUUAGACUGCUUAAGAGGUUGGGUUGUGGGGAUAUUGGGAGUGUCUAUCUGUCAGAGCUGAGUGGAACAAAGUGUUAUUUUGCAAUGAAGGUUAUGGACAAAGGCUCUCUAGCCAGUCGUAAGAAGCUACUUCGGGCGCAGACAGAAAGAGAAAUACUGCAAUCUUUGGACCAUCCCUUCCUUCCAGCACUGUAUACCCACUUUGAGACUGAUAAAUUCUCAUGUUUGGUAAUGGAGUUCUGCCCUGGAGGAGACUUGCACACUCUUAGGCAGAGGCAGCCAGGGAAGCAUUUUCAUGAGCCGGCAGUAAAAUUUUACGUAGCAGAGGUCUUGCUAAGUUUGGAAUACCUCCAUAUGCUGGGUAUUAUUUACCGUGAUCUUAAGCCAGAAAAUGUCCUUGUGAGGGAAGAUGGGCAUAUAAUGCUGUCAGACUUUGACCUUUCCCUGCGGUGUGCUGUGAACCCAACUCUUGUCAAAACUUCAUCCCUUGAGUCUGAGCCAUUGCGAAAGUACCCAGUUUAUUGUGUUCAGCCUGCUUGUAUUGAACCUUCAUGCAUCCAGCCAUCUUGUGUAGCUCCUACAACAUGCUAUUCGCCCCGCCUUUUUUCGAUCAAGUCUAAGAAGGAUAGGAAACCCAAAAGUGAACUUGGAAACCAAGUCAGUCCAUUACCCGAGCUAAUAGCAGAGCCAACUGAUGCUAGAUCUAUGUCAUUUGUUGGGACCCAUGAGUAUUUGGCACCUGAAAUUAUAAAGGGUGAAGGUCAUGGAAGUGCUGUGGAUUGGUGGACUUUUGGGAUCUUUCUUUAUGAGCUCUUAUUUGGUAAAACUCCUUUUAAGGGAUCUGGGAAUCGGGCCACACUAUUCAAUGUUGUUGGCCUGCCUCUUCGAUUUCCAGAAUCACCAGUGGUAAGUUUUGCAGCAAGGGAUCUUAUAAGGGGUUUGCUUGUAAAAGAACCACAGCAUAGAUUGGCUUACAAGAGAGGGGCAACAGAAAUAAAGCAACACCCUUUCUUUGAAGGUGUGAAUUGGGCAUUGAUACGCUGCGCUACCCCUCCUGAGAUUCCAAAGCCAGUUGAGAUUGAACAGAUACCUGCGCCACCAUCAACAAGUGAAAAAGCUGUUAUCACUGCAGCUAUUCCAGAUAAAAAAGGUUCCGAUAAUUAUCUGGAGUUUGAUUUCUUUUAGAUGUUAUUGCUUGCAAUUUGCAAAUUGUUUUCAUUUAUGGGGGAAGAAGUGUCUGAAUCUCUCAGGGGUGGUUAGCGAUGGGGACAAAGCUUUUCUUUCUUUUUCCCUCUGAUUUUAUGACUGACAGAUGAUAAGGAAAUGUAUGAUUGUUAUUGCCUGAUAACUUUAAAUCUGGAUUUCAUGACAACUGCAUGGGCAAGCAUGGAGGGGCUUGCAACCUUUUCCACAAGAUUGGUUUUGUGGCAUCAGAAAUUAGUGGGGCUUGGAAGAAUUCGAGUAUCUUAAAAAAUUCUAACUAAACCGAUUUAAUUUGAUUUCA
rnacentral:misc_RNA from 1 species